ensembl:lncRNA uncharacterized LOC114433626
CCUCGACGUAAUGUUCCGUUUGUAGACAGAAAUAAAGAUCAGGUGAGUUGUUUGGUAGUUUUAUAUCUAUGGUAAAAACAUAAUAUGACAUUUUGACAAUGUGUACAACUUACUAGGACUUAAAUUAACGAUCAUAAGUCCUCAGCAUGUAGGGUUUAUGUAGCAUCAUGACUAUUUAUAACUUAUUAUUGAGUGUAAAUUUGUUAGCUAGGAAAUAAAUACGAUUUAGCUACAAGCUAACUAUGAAGAUAUAAUAACAACGUAAAACGGAACCCUAAGUUUUGUAUUUCUCAUCACACGACCUUGUUUUUCAUAAAUUAACUUAUUUUUAUUCUUUUAAUAACAUGAGAAUGGCCAAAAGGAAAGCAACAAUCAACAGCAGAGAGGACUUAGGUCCCUUAGCUCCACCCCAGACUCGGUUUCUUAGGUCAAGAAAGAGGAAAAGUCCAAGUGAUGAAAUUUCCCUGACUGAUGAUGUUCAAGCUGCGCUUAAUCAACAGGGAAGUGAUGGAAAAAACACCCUAGUGUUGUCUUCUACAGUGACUGUUGUUGUCACGCCCCUACCAAGUCCGCAGUCAUCCCCACUGCAGAAAUGUGCCAUGAUUAUAGAUCAGCAGAAUGAAGCAGCACAGCAGUCCAGUCUCGAAAAGCAACAUGGCUCAAGCAGUGAAAAACAAACUGAAGCGACAAAUGAAGCAGAGAAUAUUUACUUAACAAAUCUGGCAGUUACAGAAGAAGAGAAGGCUACAGUCACCAAUCCCAUUGAUGAUUCUCAGCUGGAACGCUUAAACAAACAUUCUGAUGAUGAUACCAACAUGAUUGAAAAGAACAAGGAAGAAAAUGCUGCAGAUGGAUGUAAAAGAUCACCAGAUCAAACAGGCACUGAUGAACUUCAUGUUCUUAUGCUAGUCUCUGAAGACGCCGAUGGAUCCAGUGCAACUGCUUUGAAGAAUUUAGAGAGAAAACAAAAAAACAGCCAAGAAGACUCCAGCAAAAUUGAUGUCAAGCAGAACACAAUGGAGUCUGAAGCAGGGUUACCAGCCAAAAAGAAGCAAAGGAUGGGUGUGUGUGGUCUGACCGAGAAGGAGAGGCGUCAAAUCUUACUGAUACAAAACCGUGAAAAUGGGGAGAAAGGAAUGGAGAGAGGAGAGAUUUAUAAUGACACAGCUGAACCUUUGAUAAUGUCUCCAUCUGUAUCCAUCCCAGCUUACAGCAUCACAGAGCAAAGUCAGGCAGAGCCAAAGCUUCAGUCCAGUCACUGUGGAGAGAAUGACAGAAAAAAUGAAGUCCAUGCCACUGUCACUGCCUCAGAUGGGACCAGAACUGUGUGUGAGGGUAAAGAAGACAUAGCACCUGAUCCAGAACAAACUGGUGUUCCAGAGUCAGAUAUACCUGCAGAGAAAACAGGAGUGGAGGGUUUGGGGAAUCAGCUGCCUGACUUCAAAGGACAUACAGUUAAAAUUAUGGCUGAAAAGCUUGAGAAACAAAAACUGGAAGAUGGAUCAGAAGAGGUCAGCUGUAAUUCUGCAAUUACUUUCCACACAAGCCAUAAGAAGGACGAAGUCAACCAGGAUGCAACUGAGGUUGCACAGUUACAGGUGAUUACUGUGACCACAGCAGUGGAUGAGAAGAAGGAAGAGAUGACGGGUGAUGCAGUGGGUGGUGAUAACCAGACAGGAGGAUUAAAUUGUGGAUCUGUGGAAGUCUGUGAGGCUACAGUGACACCCAGCAUAUCAGAGAAGAAACACAGCUGUGAGACGGAUGCAGAACCCACUGCUAGUUCUUCUACUGCGAGCGCUGAAGGCGCUCAGACCAGGGACACAGCUGACCUGUUUGGAUUUGGAUGUUUAGACUAUGUGUCGGACUCGCAGCUGAACACCAUUGUCCUGAUUGAGGAGGUGGCAAUGGAGAAAGAGAAAACAAAUGAUACCACAGAAUGUUGCGAAGAUGCCACAGACCUGAUCCAUGGGCUCAUCAGAGAACUCUCAUCCCUAAAUCGGAGGGUCAUGGCUGCUCAUCGAGAGCUGAACAGCCUGCGCCGCAGCAGUAGAGGUUCAAGGAGCUCCAUGCGUUGAGGAUUUGGGUCUUCCUGAUGUAACUGAUGCCCCAAAGGUUCAUGGGUUUUGUUUGAUCAGUUUCAUUUCUUUGUUCUGUUCUCAAAUUAAAGUUGUUAUAAAUGGAGCAAGGAGAAAAAAAACUCUGAACACAUCUUUAGUCAAUUUAAACAUUUAUAAUGUGUUUUUUUUCUUUAUCACAUUCUUCACAAAGACAUUUUCAAAACGUUUUACAAAAGAG